CCUACGGGCGGCAGCAGUGGGGAAUAUUGGGCAAUGGGCGCAAGCCUGACCCAGCAACGCCGCGUGAAGGAAGAAGGCUUUCGGGUUGUUAACUUCUUUUGACAGGGAAGAGUAGAAGACGGUACCUGUCGACUAAGCCACGGCUAACUACGUGCCAGCAGCCGCGGUCAUACGUAGGUGGCAAGCUGUGUCCGGAUUUACUGGGUGUAAAGGGCGUGUAGCCGGGUUGACAAGUCAAAUGUGAAAUCCUGCGGCUUAACCGCAGAACUGCGUGUGAAACUGUUGGUCUUGAGUACUGGAGAGGCAGACGGAAUGCGUGGUGUAGCGGUGAAAUGCGUAGAUAUUAGGAGGAACACCAGUGGCGAAGGCGGUCUGCUGGACAGCAACUGACGGUGAGGCGCGAAAGCGUGGGUAGCAAACAGGAUUAGAUACCCGGGUAGUC
rnacentral:rRNA from 1 species